rnacentral:rRNA from 1 species
GAUGAACGCUAGCGGGAGGCCUAACACAUGCAAGCCGAGCGGUAUUGUUUCUUCGGAACUGAGAGAGCGGCGUACGGGUGCGUAACACGUGUGCAACCUGCCUUUAUCUGGGGGAUAGCCUUUCGAAAGGAAGAUUAAUACUCCAUAAUAUAUUGAACGGCAUCGUUUAGUAUUGAAAGCUCCGGCGGAUAGAGAUGGGCACGCGCAAGAUUAGCUAGUUGGUGAGGUAACGGCUCACCAAGGCGAUGAUCUUUAGGGGGCCUGAGAGGGUGAUCCCCCACACUGGUACUGAGACACGGACCAGACUCCUACGGGAGGCAGCAGUGAGGAAGAUUGGUCAAUGGGUGCAAGCCUGAACCAGCCAUCCCGCGUGAAGGACGACUGCCCUAUGGGUUGUAAACUUCUUUUGUAUAGGGAUAAACCUACCCUCGUGAGGGUAGCUGAAGGUACUAUACGAAUAAGCACCGGCUAACUCCGUG